UGGGGAAUAUUGGGCAAUGGAGGCAACUCUGACCCAGCAACGCCGCGUGAAUGAAGAAGGUCUUCGGAUUGUAAAGUUCUUUGAUGUGGGACGAAGAAAUGACGGUACCACAAAAACAAGCCACGGCAAACUACGUGCCAGCAGCCGCGGUAAUACGUAGGUGGCAAGCGUUGUCCGGAAUGACUGGGCGUAAAGGGAGCGUAGGCGGCCCUCCAAGUUAGAAGUGAAAUCCCGAGGCUCAACCUCGGAACUGCUUUUAAGACUGUGGGGCUUGAGUGAUGGAGAGGUAAGUGGAAUUCCUAGUGUAGCGGUGGAAUGCGUAGAUAUUAGGAGGAACACCAGUGGCGAAGGCGACUUACUGGACAUUAACUGACGCUGAGGCUCGAAAGUGUGGGGAGCAAACA
rnacentral:rRNA from 1 species